GCCCUUCGGGGUACACGAGCGGCGAACGGGUGAGUAACACGUGGGUGAUCUGCCUCGCACUUCGGGAUAAGCCUGGGAAACUGGGUCUAAUACCGGAUAUGACCUGCUGUCGCAUGGCGGUGGGUGGAAAGAUUUAUCGGUGCGAGAUGGGCCCGCGGCCUAUCAGCUUGUUGGUGGGGUAAUGGCCUACCAAGGCGACGACGGGUAGCCGGCCUGAGAGGGCGACCGGCCACACUGGGACUGAGACACGGCCCAGACUCCUACGGGAGGCAGCAGUGGGGAAUAUUGCACAAUGGGCGAAAGCCUGAUGCAGCGACGCCGCGUGAGGGAUGACGGCCUUCGGGUUGUAAACCUCUUUCGACAGGGACGAAGCGUAAGUGACGGUACCUGUAGAAGAAGCACCGGCCAACUACGUGCCAGCAGCCGCGGUAAUACGUAGGGUGCGAGCGUUGUCCGGAAUUACUGGGCGUAAAGAGCUUGUAGGCGGUUUGUCGCGUCGUCCGUGAAAACUUGGGGCUCAACCCCAAGCUUGCGGGCGAUACGGGCAGACUUGAGUACUGCAGGGGAGACUGGAAUUCCUGGUGUAGCGGUGAAAUGCGCAGAUAUCAGGAGGAACACCGGUGGCGAAGGCGGGUCUCUGGGCAGUAACUGACGCUGAGAAGCGAAAGCGUGGGUAGCGAACAGGAUUAGAUACCCUGGUAGUCCACGCCGUAAACGGUGGGUACUAGGUGUGGGUUUCCUUCCACGGGAUCCGUGCCGUAGCUAACGCAUUAAGUACCCCGCCUGGGGAGUACGGCCGCAAGGCUAAAACUCAAAGGAAUUGACGGGGGCCCGCACAAGCGGCGGAGCAUGUGGAUUAAUUCGAUGCAACGCGAAGAACCUUACCUGGGUUUGACAUACACCGGAAACCUGCAGAGAUGUAGGCCCCCUUGUGGUCGGUGUACAGGUGGUGCAUGGCUGUCGUCAGCUCGUGUCGUGAGAUGUUGGGUUAAGUCCCGCAACGAGCGCAACCCUUAUCUUAUGUUGCCAGCGCGUAAUGGCGGGGACUCGUGAGAGACUGCCGGGGUCAACUCGGAGGAAGGUGGGGACGACGUCAAGUCAUCAUGCCCCUUAUGUCCAGGGCUUCACACAUGCUACAAUGGCCGGUACAGAGGGCUGCGAUACCGUGAGGUGGAGCGAAUCCCUUAAAGCCGGUCUCAGUUCGGAUCGGGGUCUGCAACUCGACCCCGUGAAGUUGGAGUCGCUAGUAAUCGCAGAUCAGCAACGCUGCGGUGAAUACGUUCCCGGGCCUUGUACACACCGCCCGUCACGUCAUGAAAGUCGGUAACACCCGAAGCCGGUGGCCUAACCCCUUGUGGG
rnacentral:rRNA from 1 species